ACAAUGGCCGCCGCCAAUGUCCCAGUCCCUAGAGAGGUCUCACCUCUCACUGAGAUGCACUCAGAGCCUAUCAGAUGCCCAGUCUCUGAAGUACCCAGUUCUGAGAAUCAUUAGGAAAAGACAAAACUCUUCCUGGCAGCUGUCUUCAGAUCCAGGAAAUCCUUGGACAGAAAACAGAAAAUCAGAUCCUCUGCUUUCUGGAAUGUGAGGAGCUUUACACAAGGGGUUAAUGUGCAUUUGGAAUAGUUCCUUUGGGGGGAUGCUAGUCCUCUUCCUCAACACAGGAGAUUCAAAGAGAUGCCUUCAACCUGGAGUACAUGUCUUGAGUCAGUCACUUUGAUUUUCAGUGUUUGGAAUCUGUGUUAACUCAUCAUCUUGGUAAGAAUUGUCCGUGCCCACUGCUGCAGACCUGCUCUCAAAACUGCUGCUGGAAUUACUGAGAAGAAAGUGAACUCCUCUGAAUGAGGUUUUGAAGCUGGUUAGAAGUCAGUUUAGUACUGCUGUGGUCAGUUUUGCCAUCACUGGGGAGAACCUGCCUAAGAAUAAAGAAACAAAGGAGAAAGCUGGCCAGCAAAUGGAGAAAGAGUCCACAAAAAAAAACAAAAAACAAAAAAACCAUGGUAUUUGAACACCUGAUCCAGGUAUCCCUGAUUUUGACCUGUGGGUUAUGUGAGCCAAUCAAGUUUUCCUUGUUGCUUAUAUGUUUGACUUAGAAUAUUGUCAUUGGCUCCAUAGAGAAACCUGAUUAAUGCAGGGUUGUCCCUCAGCUUCUGAUGGAAUUUACCAUCCUCUUUGCAUUGUUUCUUUUCACAUUCCAACUCCAAGAAAGCUCCACUCUGCCAUGUCAGGACUGCUACAGCCUUACUCCAUUAUAGACCCUCUCAGUGUGGAGCAGAAGGACUUUUCCUCUAGCACAUCAGCUGACUUCUAGGGACAAGGCAUUCUCAGCUAUACUGAGAAGGUGUAAAAAAAGGUGGUGAGAAGCAGAGACCCUGUAGUUCUCCCAGGAAACUUGACUCUCAGAUAGCAUGGAAAAGUCAUCUCAAACUAGAAUGUUCUAAACUGCAAACUGAAGCUUUCUUUCCUACUGGCAAUAAAGAGUGAGUGAUGCACUGCAGUAUACAAAGAUUGCCAAUUUCUGCUAGAGCAACCCAGUAGCUCAGCUGGGGAUUCUGCUAAGAGGGAAGACUAUAAAAAGCACUGUUUUAUGGAGAUGGGGUAUUUUGAUGCUGACCCUUUGAUUUUGUUGCUAUUCCUUUUUUCUAUUCUUUUUUUCAUUCUUGUUUCCCCCGCUGUGUUCUUUUUCAUUAUAACUUUUUUCUUUGUCUGAAAUUGGACGCACAGAAAUGAGUCUAUAAUAAGCGGACAUGAGAAACCCUAAAUUUCUUUCAUUUUGAUUUUCUACUUUAUUAAUAUUUCAUGAAACAUACAGGAGGCAUUUUAGCUUACUGGCCCUUCAACUUAGUCAUGCUACUAUCUAAUCCAUUGCAUGGAAAAUUUGAAUUGCAUCAUAGCAUCUAAAACCGACAUUUCUAAAUCUGUUUGUGGUACACCAUGUAGUAAAUUACUUCAGUCUCACUAGUACUUAAGAAACCUUCAUCAUACAUCAUUCCAACAUCCUAGACAGAAAAGCAAGUAGAGAGAUUCGUAUAUAAGGGAAAAAAGGGAAUGGCAAUAUUGCAACCCAUUGAUAAAGAUUAAACUGGCUUCUUUAGCUUGAUUGGACAUGGCUUAUCUUUGAUUUAUGUGUCUCCUUGUGCUACUUAAUAUAUAAUCAAAUAAGAUAAUUGUUCUUCAGUGAUCUUUGCAUAGAAGUAAAAAAAAG